rnacentral:rRNA from 1 species
UACGUAGGGUGCGAGCGUUAAUCGGAAUUACUGGGCGUAAAGCGUGCGCAGGCGGUUCGUUGUGUCGGUGGUGAAAGCCCCGGGCUUAACCUGGGAAUGGCCAUGGAAACUGGCGAACUGGAGUGUGGCAGAGGGGGGUGGAAUUCCGCGGUGUAGCAGUGAAAUGCGUAGAGAUGCGGAGGAACACCGAUGGCGAAGGCAGCCCCCUGGGCUAGCACUGACGCUCAGCACGAAAGCGUGGGGAGCAAACAGGA